UUUGUUUCUUCAAAAUUCCCCAUUUUCCCAAAUUCUAAGAAACCCUAAUUGUUUCUCUCAAAUUUUUCCUCAUACUUUCUCCCAUUGGUUUCUUAUUUUUUUCGUAAACUUUCCGUUAUUUCUUGAUCUUCUUCGUGCGGAUCUCCCACCACAUUCAAGCUUCGAUACCUUUUUCACCAUCUUCCCUGAAAGCUGUAGACGGCCAUCCUCCACGCCACAACGCCCAAGCGUCUAAUAGCCCAUCCACCACGUCCAAGCUCCGAUUCAUCUGUGCCCGAAUCUUCUACCAUGCCCAAGCUUCGAUGAACGUUCGUUCUCCCACCACUGUGCAAAUCUCGAAUCUCGCCCAAGCUUCGAUCUACAAUUGAUGAGAGGCGAUGCUAAUAUAUUAUCGUUGAACAACUCAAACUUGCGCUUGAGGGCACUUAUGAGAAAGGAACAAAUGAAGAAAUUGAAGAGUUCAUUUAUGAAUUACUGGGUGUGUCAGAUGAUGGUGUCCUUGGAAGGUCUGAUCUGGAAUCGGUUCUAAUAGCAAUUUUCAAUUAUGUAUUCCCCUCAACAAAUAAUGAACCUGGAUUGGAUUCACAUAAGGAUGUCAUACAAAUAUUUGUUCGUGCAGCCACUUUCUUAGAGAACGAUGAACAAUUUACUUACGAAAAUUUCAAAAACUGGUGUUCAUUGCUUCCAUCCGUCAGGAAGUUUCUUGGAAGUUUCUAAUGCCACCUGAUAUAGGCAUUUGCUUAUAUCUACAUCAAUCUCUUUCCAAUACUAAUUAGAUUUAAGUUUAUUCGUGCCUUAAGUUUGUUGGAGUAUGAUUAUUAUUUCCUCUAACUUCUUAAUUGAUCUGUAUUAUUUUUUUUCUUUUUAAUUGAUUUGUGUUUCCCCUUAACGAUAAUUAUGCUUGAUUUUGAUUAGACAUCGCGUGAAUACAAGUGCUAGAACUGACCAUUAUACUGUUAUGCUUGCUUUAAA